UAACGCGUGGAUAAUCUGCCCUCUUGUUCGGGAUAACUGCUGGAAACGGCAGCUAAUACCGGAUAAGCUCCACCAAUUGUAUGGUGGAGGAAAGGAGGCCUCUUCAUGAAAGCUUCCGCGAGGGGAUGAGUCCGCGUCCCAUUAGCUAGUUGGUGAGGUAACGGCCCACCAAGGCAACGAUGGGUAGCCGGUCUAAGAGGAUGACCGGCCACACUGGAACUGAAACACGGUCCAGACUCCUACGGGAGGCAGCAGUGGGGAAUAUUGCGCAAUGGACGAAAGUCUGACGCAGCGACGCCGCGUGAGGGAUGAAGGUUUUCGGAUCGUAAACCUCUGUCAGGAGGGAAGAAAGCGCAUGGCGCCAAUCAGCCAUGCGUUGACGGUACCUCCAAAGGAAGCGCCGGCUAACUCCGUGCCAGCAGCCGCGGUAAUACGGAGGGCGCGAGCGUUAAUCGGAAUUACUGGGCGUAAAGCGCGCGUAGGCUGUUGUGUAAGUUGGGGGUGAAAUCCCACGGCUCAACCGUGGAACAGCCCUUGAUACUGCGCGACUUGAAUCCGGGAGAGGGUGGCGGAAUUCCAGGUGUAGGAGUGAAAUCCGUAGAUAUCUGGAGGAACAUCAGUGGCGAAGGCGGCCACCUGGACCGGUAUUGACGCUGAGGCGCGAAAGCGUGGGGAGCAAACAGGAUUAGAUACCCUGGUAGU
rnacentral:rRNA from 1 species